rnacentral:rRNA from 1 species
UAGUGCCCGUACCGCAAACCGACACAGGUAGAUGAGGAGAGAAUCCUAAGACCAUCGGAAGAAUUGCAGUUAAGGAACUCGGCAAAUUGACCCCGUAACUUCGGGAGAAGGGGUGCCUACGCAAGUAGGCCGCAGAGAAUAGGCCCAAGCAACUGUUUAGCAAAAACACAGGUCUCUGCUAAAGCGAAAGCUGAAGUAUAGGGGCUGACGCCUGCCCGGUGCUGGAAGGUUAAGGGGAAUGCUUAGCGCAAGCGAAGGCAUGAACUUAAGCCCCAGUAAACGGCGGCCGUAACUAUAACGGUCCUAAGGUAGCGAAAUUCCUUGUCAGGUAAGUUCUGACCCGCACGAAUGGCGUAAUGACUUGGGCACUGUCUCAACUGCAAAUCCGGCGAAAUUGUAGUGCCAGUGAAGAUGCUGGCUACCCGCGAUUGGACGGAAAGACCCCGUAGAGCUUUACUGUAGCUUAGCAUUGAAUUUCGGUAUUGUCUGUACAGGAUAGGUGGGAGACUGAGAAACUGGGGCGUCAGCUUCAGUGGAGUCACCCUUGGGAUACCACCCUGACAGUACUGAGGUUCUAACGGAUACCCAUGAAACUGGGUGCCGGACAUUGUUAGGUGGGCAGUUUGACUGGGGCGGUCGCCUCCUAAAAAGUAACGGAGGCGCCCAAAGGUUCCCUCAGAACGGUCGGAAAUCGUUCGAAGAGUGCAAAGGCAGAAGGGAGCCUGACUGCGACACCUACAAGUGGAGCAGGGACGAAAGUCGGGCUUAGUGAUCCGGUGGUACCUCGUGGGAGGGCCAUCGCUCAACGGAUAAAAGCUACCUCGGGGAUAACAGGCUGAUCUCCCCCAAGAGUCCACAUCGACGGGGAGGUUUGGCACCUCGAUGUCGGCUCGUCGCAUCCUGGGGCUGAAGUAGGUCCCAAGGGUUGGGCUGUUCGCCCAUUAAAGCGGCACGCGAGCUGGGUUCAGAACGUCGUGAGACAGUUCGGUCCCUAUCCGUCGCGGGCGUAGGAAAUUUGAGAGGAGCUGUCCCUAGUACGAGAGGACCGGGAUGGACUGACCUCUGGUGUACCAGUUGUCACGCCAGUGGCAUUGCUGGGUAGCUAUGUCGGGACGGGAUAAACGCUGAAAGCAUCUAAGCGUGAAGCCCACCUCAAGAUUAGAUUUCCCAUAGCAUAAGCUAGUAAGACCCCUUGAAGAACACGAGGUUGAUAGGUCAGAGGUGUAAGUGCAGUAAUGUAUUAAGCUGACUGAUACUAAUAGGUCGAGGGCUUGACCAAAUU